rfam:Hordeum vulgare subsp. vulgare, WGS project CAJW01000000 data, contig: morex_contig_56750
AAAAUACUUCCUUCAUCCGGAAAUAUUUGUCGGAGAGAUGAACGUAUCUAGACGUAUUUUAGUUUCACGUACAUCCAUUUUUUAUCUACUUUUUUGACAAGUAUUUUCGGACAAAGGAAGUAUAUA